rnacentral:rRNA from 1 species
AUUGAACGCUGGCGGCAGGCCUAACACAUGCAAGUCGAACGAGUGGCGGACGGGUGAGUAAUGUCUGGGAAACUGCCUGAUGGAGGGGGAUAGCUACUGGAAACGGUAGCUAAUACCGCAUACCAGCAGAUGUGCCCAAAUGGGUUUAGCGUGGUGGUGGGGUAACGGCUCACCAAGGCGACGAUCCCUAGCUGGUCUGGGAGGAUGACCAGCUAAACUUGGACUGAGAAACGGUCCAGACUCCUACGGGAGGCCGCAGGGGGGAAUAUUGCAAAAUGGGCGCAAGCCUGAUGCCGCCAUGCCGCGUGUAUGAAGAAGGCCUUCGGGUUGUAAAGUACUUUCAGCGGGGAGGCGUUACCCGCAGAAGAAGCACCGGCUAACUCCGUGCCAGCAGCCGCGGUAAUAC